rnacentral:tRNA from 1 species
CGCCGGCGCGGUCGGCCACGGUGCUCGGCAGACCUGCCGGGUCUGCCGAGGUCGGCUCCGGGCCGGUCGCCGGCGUC